rnacentral:rRNA from 1 species
UGAGGAAUAUUGCGCAAUGGGGGAAACCCUGACGCAGCGAUGCCGCGUGGGUGAAGAAGGCUUUCGGGUCGUAAAGCCCUGUCAGGUGGGAAGAAUAGUCUCUUGGUGAAUAGUCAGGAGGCGUGACGGUACCACCGAAGGAAGCACCGGCUAACUCCGUGCCAGCAGCCGCGGUAAGACGGAGGGUGCAAGCGUUAUUCGGAAUCAUUGGGCGUAAAGAGCGUGUAGGCGGCCGGUUAAGUCAGGUGUGAAAGCCCGGGGCUCAACUCCGGAAGUGCACUUGAAACUGGUCGGCUUGAGUUCGGGAGAGGGAAGCGGAAUUCCUGGUGUAGAGGUGAAAUUCGUAGAUAUCAGGAGGAACAUCGGUGGCGAAGGCGGCUUCCUGGACCGAAACUGACGC